rnacentral:rRNA from 1 species
UUGCGUAGGUGGUUUGUAAAGCGAAUAGUGAAAUCUGGCGGCUCAACCGUACAGGCUAUUAUUCGAACUCACAAACUCGAGAAUGGUAGAGGUUACUGGAAUUUCUAGUGUAGGAGUGAAAUCCGUAGAUAUUAGAAGGAACACCAAUGGCGUAGGCAGGUAACUGGACCAUUUCUGACACUGAGGCACGAAAGCGUGGGGAGCAACG